CUCUAAUCCAGUUAGCCGCAUAAUAGAGUGAGAGGCACACUAUCUGCUUCUGCUUUCCUGUGAGAGACUGCCACACAGCUUUGGAGAAAUACUGGCAUCAAGGUAGUAAAAAUGCAUGUUAUAACUAAAACAUCUAGCUGCAUUAACAAGCAACAAAAAUGAACCAAGGUAUGUCAACAGAGCAACACAUGGAAAAUGUCACAAAUUGCAGUUGAUAUUUAAGGUGCUUUCUCUGACUUGGUAAUGGAUCAUCAGAAAGAGCCUGCUUCCUCCACAUACAUAUGCAAUAUUUCUAGGGAUGAGACAAUUCCUUUUCCUCUCCUUCAUGGGGCAAGUAAUGGAGGGUUUCUUUUCCUCUCCUCCAUAGGUCAAAUAAUAGAGGAUUCACAAAACUAGCAUCCGCGGACACAGUAAAC